CCUCAAGCCACCACAGUCUUUUUUAGCUAACAAACCGAAGUUGAUCAAAAUCAAUUGAACCUUUAAUUGUGCAAGACUUGUUUCAGCAAAACAUUGUGGGCAGAAUAAAUAUAAGGAUGAAUGACCUAAAUAACGUAGUUAGCGCAAAGCUUAAGAAGAAUGAUGUACUGCGACAAACAGCAAACACAAACAACAAAAGAAGGCUGAGUGAGAGCAAAGUGCACAAUGAGAGGACUACCGCGAACACUCACACAAACCUUAUGCACGCAAAGGGAGCUGCUUAAAAGCAAAAUGCUAAAUAAUUGCAAAAACAAAAAUAAAGUGAAUUGACGCCGAAACUAUAAAAUUAUGCACAACCAAUAAACUGAGCACAAUACGGGCCAAAUAGACAUUAACUUUACAAUGUAAAACAAUAAUUACAAAUUAAA